CUGAAUGCGAGCGGACGCAUUCUUUGGCCGUUUUAAAGAAGUGUUUCGGGAGAAAGGGAGUCAUUCUAGGCAGUGAGUGUGCUCAGAGGCUUGAACGUGUUAUGCGCAUUUCGUUUAAAAUCACUUGUUGCUCAAAUGUAGUCACCUUCCUUAGACCUCUAGCACUGUGCCUGGCUAACGUAGCUGUUAGCUUAACGUACCGCCGGGAUUUCGCCGACCGUAUAACGUCGUCGGAGUCUCGUUCAACAUUCUUCUGUCCGGGUCUUUUGUGGAGCUCUAAUUGAGGACAGCACUGGGAUUGGCGUGCCUUCAGUGGAGUGGAUUCCAUUACGGUGCCCUGACUUCCAAAAGUGCUGGAAAAGGGGGUACAGUGGUGGUGGUGAGCCAACCAAAGAACAUACAGUAUAUUACAUUUAAUAAAUUUUAUUUUAUUUGUGUUGGUGAUGUUUAGAAUAAUUUAUUUUGUACGACAGGAGUUGACAAGAACAUUUUGUGUUUAGUUAUUUCAUUCAGAUUGAAAGAAAAAAAAAGGAAACACACCAGUGUUGAGAAAGGUGAUCACCAAUUAUUUUGCUUGAGGGAAAGGUCAACUAAGAGGUUGAGACUAAAUUGGAUUUAUUUACUUUUUUCACUGUGUUUGUCGUGAUAAUAAUUUUGUUGUCCUGUGUUUAUGUUUGAUAUAAAAGAUAAUUGUUCUUACAA